rnacentral:rRNA from 1 species
AUUGAACGCUGGCGGCAUGCCUUACACAUGCAAGUCGAACGGUAACGCGGGGGCAACCCUGGCGACGAGUGGCGAACGGGUGAGUAGCGCAUCGGAACGUGCCCAGUAGUGGGGGAUAGCCCGGCGAAAGCCGGAUUAAUACCGCAUACGACCUACGGGUGAAAGCGGGGGACCGCAAGGCCUCGCGCUAUUGGAGCGGCCGAUGCCCGAUUAGCUAGUUGGUGAGGUAAAGGCUCACCAAGGCGACGAUCGGUAGCUGGUCUGAGAGGACGACCAGCCACACUGGGACUGAGACACGGCCCAGACUCCUACGGGAGGCAGCAGUGGGGAAUUUUGGACAAUGGGGGAAACCCUGAUCCAGCCAUGCCGCGUGCGGGAAGAAGGCCUUCGGGUUGUAAACCGCUUUUGGCAGGAACGAAACGGCGCGCGCCAAUACCGCGCGCUAAUGACGGUACCUGCAGAAUAAGCACCGGCUAACUACGUGCCAGCAGCCGCAGUAA